GGAUCUCGAACCUGGGGUCUUGAAGAGGCCCGCGCUUGGGGUUUUUAGGCAACAGCAGGCCUCCAAGCAGAGUCCUGGUGUCCCGGACCGAAUCACUCCCCGAGAGACGGGCAAGGAGAUGGACCGCCAGCCAGGAAUAAGGGGAACCCUUCGCUGGGCAAACGAUAGUUUCCAAACUUAAGGUUGUGGAUGAAACUUUUUGGUGCGGCUGCUGCAGGGGCCCCAGCCCCGGGGUGCUGCUGACCCGAGGCAAGGGAGCCGGCGCACUCACGCCUAGCCGCUAAGGAGUCUGCGGUGUCGGCGAAAGCUCCGGACAUGAUUUUGGAAGAUACGGGGUUUCUCCAUGUUGAUGUCAGACUGGUCUCGAACUCCCGACCUCAGGUGAUCCACCCGCCUCGGCCCCCCAAAGUGCUGGCAUUACAAGCGAGAUACCUGAGUGAGGCAUGGUAAACCAGUCCCAGCAGACCACUCCCUGAAGAUGUUGGCUUGAUAUGUGCUGGAAGAUGAGAAAGCAUACAGAAUGCAGGACAACAUAAAGAAAACAGAACCGAGAAGUUAUGCUAAGUAUAUAAACAAACCAAGAGUAUGGAUUGGAAUGCUGUUUUCUUUGGACAGAUCAAUAUUCUUUUGGAAAGAUAGAAUGAAGCUGAAUAAGUUGCAGAAAAGGUCAAAUAAAAUGAUUGUGUCCAAAAGACUAGGGUUUUUCUACAGUUUGGAACAAACAGACAGAGGCAAUGCAGUGUUUAAUGACUGUUCUGAAAAAAUAAUGAUAUUGUGUGGCGAAGGAGACUCUCACAGCCAAAAGUUAUGAAAGAGAGCCACACUCUAUAAAUUAUAGCAAAUUUGGGAACAUAUUAGGGUGAAGGGA